UGGGUGAGAUUGUGAACCCCAAAGAAAAUAAUCGAAUUGUAAUCAAGUUAGUGAUUAUAGUUGAAUUCCCAAGUGAUUUACUUGGAGAGUAGAUGUAGGUAUCGAGUUUGGUACUGAACCACUAUAAAAGCUUUGUGUUUGUGAUUGUGUGGCUUUCUCUAUAUUGUUCUUAUUCAUUACUUAUAUUUUAAUUAGUUUCAUUAAGCACUUUGAAGUAAAUC
rnacentral:lncRNA from 1 species